rnacentral:tRNA from 1 species
AGGGCUAUAGCCAAGAGGUAAGGCAGAGGACUUUGACUCCUUGAUGCGCCGGUUCGAAUCCGGCUAGCCCCGC